CUGCAACCCGCACCCUCCACACCCGCAUCCCCUCAUCCCGCUACCGCGUCUUGCGCCCGAUCGCGAUACCGUGGGGACCUGACGCGGGAACUCUCCAUGGGACGUGCCAAGCCUGGUGGCCGCCUCGUGGGGCUCGAUGGCGCGGAGAAGGGCCUAGGGACAUAACUGUCCCCAUCCUCGUCGCCGUGGGUGCUAGCGUUCUACGGCUGGGGUGUCGUAGCUCGCGUCUCGGCCGAGGUCGUUACCGUCAAUGGCCAUGCCCUCGCCCACUCGCAGGCCUGUGACUGCCGCAUCCCCCUCACCCCCACCCGCCGCUAAUUUCGCAGAACUCCAUGCACGUCGCUGAUUUCGCCUUCCUCAAGCCCCCAAGAUGCGCGCGUUGCCCCCCAACCCCACCUCCCACCCCAUCGAGCAUGCAAUGACAGGGAGGUCUGCGCCUGCUGUCGCACCGCCGCCACCCCCAUUCACAAAGCCCUAGCGACAUCGAUUUCUCACCGACAUGGUUGUUGGCCCGUACUCUCUCAGCCACCACAGCCGGUGAUGGCCGAUGCAGUUCCAGUGCGCGCUCACGGCGGCGCCACCCACGCCGAUCCCCGUCAAGAAGUUGUCCUGUAAGAAGAGCACCCGCAUCCGACGGCCUCCGCCGACGCCUCCACCUCGCUCGCGAACCAGUUCCUGUUGAGGUCCCAACCAAAGAGCAAGUUGAUGCACUAUCAAAGGAAUUGCUUACGCUUUCAACUGUCCCAGGUUGAGGGUGAAUUUCAAAAGGCUUACGAUAAUGGAUUUCCAAAAUCAAAGUAAACUUGGGAUUUGUGCUGCCACCCAUUUUUCUUAUGUGUUCAGUGGUUGCUUUCUAUGGUGUUCAGAAUUAUUGUUUGUAUUGGGAGCCUACUUAAAUUGGUCACCAUGAAUCUCUACUUAUGAAGACUGCAGCUUGGUCUGUGUUAUUUUCACCGUUUUGACGUAGUCUCGGUUGUAUAUUUAAUUAUUAAGAAGUGCCUAUCUCAAAUUUCUGUGAGCUCAAGUAUCCGUCCUGUUCUCUGUCAUUGUACUGUAAUGCCCAUUAAGCAGCGUCUAAUUUGUUGUGGCUAGAAGAACAAAAACAAUUGG